rnacentral:rRNA from 1 species
UAGGUGGCAAGCGUUGUCCGGAUUUACUGGGCGUAAAGGGAGCGUAGGCGGAUGUUUAAGUGGGAUGUGAAAUACCCGGGCUCAACUUGGGUGCUGCAUUCCAAACUGGAUAUCUAGAGUGCAGGAGAGGAAAGUGGAAUUCCUAGUGUAGCGGUGAAAUGCGUAGAGAUUAGGAAGAACACCAGUGGCGAAGGCGACUUUCUGGACUGUAACUGACGCUGAGGCUCGAAAGCGUGGGGAGCAAACAGGA